AUUGAACGCUGGCGGCAGGCUCAACACAUGCAAGUCGAGCGGGGUGAUGGUGCUUGCACUAUCACUUAGCGGCGGACGGGUGAGUAAUGCUUAGGAAUCUGCCUAUUAGUGGGGGACAACAUCUCGAAAGGGAUGCUAAUACCGCAUACGUCCUACGGGAGAAAGCAGGGGAUCACUUGUGACCUUGCGCUAAUAGAUGAGCCUAAGUCGGAUUAGCUAGUUGGUGGGGUAAAGGCCUACCAAGGCGACGAUCUGUAGCGGGUCUGAGAGGAUGAUCCGCCACACUGGGGCUGAGACACGGCCCAGACUCCUACGGGAGGUAGCAGUGGGGAAUAUUGGACAAUGGGGGGAACCCUGAUCCAGCCAUGCCGCGUGUGUGAAGAAGGCCUUAUGGUUGUAAAGCACUUUAAGCGAGGAGGAGGCUCUUUUGGUUAAUACCCAAGAUGAGUGGACGUUACUCGCAGAAUAAGCACCGGCUAACUCUGUGCCAGCCGCCGCCGUAA
rnacentral:rRNA from 1 species